AGCGUACACGGUGGAUGCCCUGGCAGUCAGAGGCGAUGAAGGACGUGCUAAUCUGCGAUAAGCGUCGGUAAGGUGAUAUGAACCGUUAUAACCGGCGAUUUCCGAAUGGGGAAACCCAGUGUGAUUCGUCACACUAUCAUUAACUGAAUCCAUAGGUUAAUGAGGCGAACCGGGGGAACUGAAACAUCUAAGUACCCCGAGGAAAAGAAAUCAACCGAGAUUCCCCCAGUAGCGGCGAGCGAACGGGGAGCAGCCCAGAGCCUGAAUCAGUGUGUGUGUUAGUGGAAGCGUCUGGAAAGGCACGCGAUACAGGGUGACAGCCCCGUACACAAAAAUGCACAUGCUGUGAGCUCGAUGAGUAGGGCGGGACACGUGGUAUCCUGUCUGAAUAUGGGGGGACCAUCCUCCAAGGCUAAAUACUCCUGACUGACCGAUAGUGAACCAGUACCGUGAGGGAAAGGCGAAAAGAACCCCGGCGAGGGGAGUGAAAAAGAACCUGAAACCGUGUACGUACAAGCAGUGGGAGCACGCUUAGGCGUGUGACUGCGUACCUUUUGUAUAAUGGGUCAGCGACUUAUAUUCUGUAGCAAGGUUAACCGAAUAGGGGAGCCGAAGGGAAACCGAGUCUUAACUGGGCGUUAAGUUGCAGGGUAUAGACCCGAAACCCGGUGAUCUAGCCAUGGGCAGGUUGAAGGUUGGGUAACACUAACUGGAGGACCGAACCGACUAAUGUUGAAAAAUUAGCGGAUGACUUGUGGCUGGGGGUGAAAGGCCAAUCAAACCGGGAGAUAGCUGGUUCUCCCCGAAAGCUAUUUAGGUAGCGCCUCGUGAAUUCAUCUCCGGGGGUAGAGCACUGUUUCGGCAAGGGGGUCAUCCCGACUUACCAACCCGAUGCAAACUGCGAAUACCGGAGAAUGUUAUCACGGGAGACACACGGCGGGUGCUAACGUCCGUCGUGAAGAGGGAAACAACCCAGACCGCCAGCUAAGGUCCCAAAGUCAUGGUUAAGUGGGAAACGAUGUGGGAAGGCCCAGACAGCCAGGAUGUUGGCUUAGAAGCAGCCAUCAUUUAAAGAAAGCGUAAUAGCUCACUGGUCGAGUCGGCCUGCGCGGAAGAUGUAACGGGGCUAAACCAUGCACCGAAGCUGCGGCAGCGACGCUUAUGCGUUGUUGGGUAGGGGAGCGUUCUGUAAGCCUGUGAAGGUGUGCUGUGAGGCAUGCUGGAGGUAUCAGAAGUGCGAAUGCUGACAUAAGUAACGAUAAAGCGGGUGAAAAGCCCGCUCGCCGGAAGACCAAGGGUUCCUGUCCAACGUUAAUCGGGGCAGGGUGAGUCGACCCCUAAGGCGAGGCCGAAAGGCGUAGUCGAUGGGAAACAGGUUAAUAUUCCUGUACUUGGUGUUACUGCGAAGGGGGGACGGAGAAGGCUAUGUUGGCCGGGCGACGGUUGUCCCGGUUUAAGCGUGUAGGCUGGUUUUCCAGGCAAAUCCGGAAAAUCAAGGCUGAGGCGUGAUGACGAGGCACUACGGUGCUGAAGCAACAAAUGCCCUGCUUCCAGGAAAAGCCUCUAAGCAUCAGGUAACAUCAAAUCGUACCCCAAACCGACACAGGUGGUCAGGUAGAGAAUACCAAGGCGCUUGAGAGAACUCGGGUGAAGGAACUAGGCAAAAUGGUGCCGUAACUUCGGGAGAAGGCACGCUGAUAUGUAGGUGAAGCGACUUGCUCGUGGAGCUGAAAUCAGUCGAAGAUACCAGCUGGCUGCAACUGUUUAUUAAAAACACAGCACUGUGCAAACACGAAAGUGGACGUAUACGGUGUGACGCCUGCCCGGUGCCGGAAGGUUAAUUGAUGGGGUUAGCGCAAGCGAAGCUCUUGAUCGAAGCCCCGGUAAACGGCGGCCGUAACUAUAACGGUCCUAAGGUAGCGAAAUUCCUUGUCGGGUAAGUUCCGACCUGCACGAAUGGCGUAAUGAUGGCCAGGCUGUCUCCACCCGAGACUCAGUGAAAUUGAACUCGCUGUGAAGAUGCAGUGUACCCGCGGCAAGACGGAAAGACCCCGUGAACCUUUACUAUAGCUUGACACUGAACAUUGAGCCUUGAUGUGUAGGAUAGGUGGGAGGCUUAGAAGUGUGGACGCCAGUCUGCAUGGAGCCGACCUUGAAAUACCACCCUUUAAUGUUUGAUGUUCUAACGUUGACCCGUAAUCCGGGUUGCGGACAGUGUCUGGUGGGUAGUUUGACUGGGGCGGUCUCCUCCUAAAGAGUAACGGAGGAGCACGAAGGUUGGCUAAUCCUGGUCGGACAUCAGGAGGUUAGUGCAAUGGCAUAAGCCAGCUUGACUGCGAGCGUGACGGCGCGAGCAGGUGCGAAAGCAGGUCAUAGUGAUCCGGUGGUUCUGAAUGGAAGGGCCAUCGCUCAACGGAUAAAAGGUACUCCGGGGAUAACAGGCUGAUACCGCCCAAGAGUUCAUAUCGACGGCGGUGUUUGGCACCUCGAUGUCGGCUCAUCACAUCCUGGGGCUGAAGUAGGUCCCAAGGGUAUGGCUGUUCGCCAUUUAAAGUGGUACGCGAGCUGGGUUUAGAACGUCGUGAGACAGUUCGGUCCCUAUCUGCCGUGGGCGCUGGAGAACUGAGGGGGGCUGCUCCUAGUACGAGAGGACCGGAGUGGACGCAUCACUGGUGUUCGGGUUGUCAUGCCAAUGGCACUGCCCGGUAGCUAAAUGCGGAAGAGAUAAGUGCUGAAAGCAUCUAAGCACGAAACUUGCCCCGAGAUGAGUUCUCCCUGACUCCUUGA
rnacentral:rRNA from 1 species